CAUAGGUUAAUGAGGCGAACCGGGGGAACUGAAACAUCUAAGUACCCCGAGGAAAAGAAAUCAACCGAGAUUCCCCCAGUAGCGGCGAGCGAACGGGGAGCAGCCCAGAGCCUGAAUCAGUAUGUGUGUUAGUGGAAGCGUCUGGAAAGGCGCGCGAUACAGGGUGACAGCCCCGUACACAAAAAUGCACAUGCUGUGAGCUCGAUGAGUAGGGCGGGACACGUGGUAUCCUGUCUGAAUAUGGGGGGACCAUCCUCCAAGGCUAAAUACUCCUGACUGACCGAUAGUGAACCAGUACCGUGAGGGAAAGGCGAAAAGAACCCCGGCGAGGGGAGUGAAAAAGAACCUGAAACCGUGUACGUACAAGCAGUGGGAGCACGCUUAGGCGUGUGACUGCGUACCUUUUGUAUAAUGGGUCAGCGACUUAUAUUCUGUAGCAAGGUUAACCGAAUAGGGGAGCCGAAGGGAAACCGAGUCUUAACUGGGCGUUAAGUUGCAGGGUAUAGACCCGAAACCCGGUGAUCUAGCCAUGGGCAGGUUGAAGGUUGGGUAACACUAACUGGAGGACCGAACCGACUAAUGUUGAAAAAUUAGCGGAUGACUUGUGGCUGGGGGUGAAAGGCCAAUCAAACCGGGAGAUAGCUGGUUCUCCCCGAAAGCUAUUUAGGUAGCGCCUCGUGAAUUCAUCUCCGGGGGUAGAGCACUGUUUCGGCAAGGGGGUCAUCCCGACUUACCAACCCGAUGCAAACUGCGAAUACCGGAGAAUGUUAUCACGGGAGACACACGGCGGGUGCUAACGUCCGUCGUGAAGAGGGAAACAACCCAGACCGCCAGCUAAGGUCCCAAAGUCAUGGUUAAGUGGGAAACGAUGUGGGAAGGCCCAGACAGCCAGGAUGUUGGCUUAGAAGCAGCCAUCAUUUAAAGAAAGCGUAAUAGCUCACUGGUCGAGUCGGCCUGCGCGGAAGAUGUAACGGGGCUAAACCAUGCACCGAAGCUGCGGCAGCGACGCUGAUGCGUUGUUGGGUAGGGGAGCGUUCUGUAAGCCUGCGAAGGUGUGCUGUGAGGCAUGCUGGAGGUAUCAGAAGUGCGAAUGCUGACAUAAGUAACGAUAAAGCGGGUGAAAAGCCCGCUCGCCGGAAGACCAAGGGUUCCUGUCCAACGUUAAUCGGGGCAGGGUGAGUCGACCCCUAAGGCGAGGCCGAAAGGCGUAGUCGAUGGGAAACAG
rnacentral:rRNA from 1 species